GACGAACGCUGGCGGCGUGCCUAAUACGUGCAAGUAGAACGCUGAAGAGAGGAGCUUGCUCUUCUUGGAUGAGUUGCGAACGGGUGAGUAACGCGUAGGUAACCUGCCUUGUAGCGGGGGAUAACUAUUGGAAACGAUAGCUAAUACCGCAUAACAAUGGAUGACCCAUGUCAUUUAUUUGAAAGGGGCAAAUGCUCCACUACAAGAUGGACCUGCGUUGUAUUAGCUAGUAGGUGAGGUAACGGCUCACCUAGGCGACGAUACAUAGUCGACCUGAGAGGGUGAUCGGCCACACUGGGACUGAGACACGGCCCAGACUCCUACGGGAGGCAGCAGUAGGGAAUCUUCGGCAAUGGGGGCAACCCUGACCGAGCAACGCCGCGUGAGUGAAGAAGGUUUUCGGAUCGUAAAGCUCUGUUGUAAGUCAAGAACGAGUGUGAGAGUGGAAAGUUCACACUGUGACGGUAGCUUACCAGAAAGGGACGGCUAACUACGUG
rnacentral:rRNA from 1 species